ACGAGGACUCUCGGCAACGGAUAUCUCGGCUCUCGCAUCGAUGAAGAACGUAGCGAAGUGCGAUACUUGGUGUGAAUUGCAGAAUCCCGUGAACCAUCGAGUCUCUGAACGCAAGUUGCGCCCCAAGCCUUUCGGCCGAGGGCACGCCUGCCUGGGUGUCACG
rnacentral:rRNA from 1 species